rnacentral:lncRNA from 1 species
UGGCGGAACAAUUCGAAAGGAAACCAAUAGAAGGAACGAAUAUAGUAGCGACGAAGAAUCGAAGAAUAAAACAUAUAAAGGGGAUGAAUUGUAUUUUGAAAAGAGUAAUAUGACGAGACGAACACCGAAUAAAAGCAACGAUACAAAUGAAGAGAUGAUAAAAAUGAUGCGGGAAGUUAUACCAAAAGGAAACGAUGGAAUAUAUUAAAGAGCUAAAAAAAA